ACAAAAAGCAUAGGAAUUGUUUGGUAAACAUCAGUAUACCACCACAAGGAAGAAGAAAAGGCAAUCACUCUUUUUAAUCUUAUUUGUUGUUAAAUAGGUUUUUAGAGUAUAGUGUUAGAUGAAAAUUCUUUUCUAUCAAUCAUCAUCAAAAUUGGGUUCUGGGGUAGGUUGAGAACCACUGCCCUAGAGCUUUCUUCAUAUGUGACUUGGCACAAAAGAUUGUAUUUCAGUUUCUCAAAGACAUGCACAACUGUGCUAUAGAAACUGAGGUACUAGCAUACAAUUUUUAAAAAAAAAAUUUUUUUGCAAGGCACUAAGUUUGACUAUUUAGGUAA